rnacentral:tRNA from 1 species
ACCUCCUUAAUUUAAUGGAUGAACAUAUUCGCGAUAAGGUGCAGGUUCAAAUCCUGCAGGAGGUU